rnacentral:rRNA from 1 species
UCCAGACUCCUACGGGAGGCAGCAGUGGGGAAUAUUGCACAAUGGGGGAAACCCUGAUGCAGCGACGCCGCGUGAGUGAAGAAGUAAUUCGUUAUGUAAAGCUCUAUCAGCAGGGAAGAAAAUGACGGUACCUGAGUAAGAAGCCCCGGCUAACUACGUGCCAGCAGCCGCGGUAAUACGUAGGGGGCAAGCGUUAUCCGGAUUUAUUGGGUUUAAAGGGUGCGUAGGCGGAAGGUUAAGUCAGCGGUCAAAUGUCGGGGCUCAACCCCGUCGAGCCGUUGAAACUGGCAGACUUGAGUUGGCGAGAAGUACGCGGAAUGCGCGGUGUAGCGGUGAAAUGCAUAGAUAUCGCGCAGAACUCCGAUUGCGAAGGCAGCGUACCGGCGCCAGACUGACGCUGAGGCACGAAAGCGUGGGUAUCGAACAGGAUUAGAUACCCGUGUAA